rnacentral:rRNA from 1 species
UACGGAGGGUGCAAGCGUUAUCCGGAUUCACUGGGUUUAAAGGGUGCGUAGGCGGGUAAGUAAGUCACUUGUGAAAUCUCCGGGCUUAACUCGGAACGGUCAAGUGAUACUGUCGGACUAGAGUACAGAAGGGGCAACUGGAAUUCUCGGUGUAGCGGUGAAAUGCGUAGAUAUCGAGAGGAACACCUGCGGCGAAGGCGGGUUGCUGGGCUGAUACUGACGCUGAGGCGCGAAAGCCAGGGGAGCGAACGGG